rnacentral:rRNA from 1 species
AUUGAACGCUGGCGGCAGGCCUAACACAUGCAAGUCGAACGGUAGCACAGAGAGCUUGCUCUCGGGUGACGAGUGGCGGACGGGUGAGUAAUGUCUGGGAAACUGCCCGAUGGAGGGGGAUAACUACUGGAAACGGUAGCUAAUACCGCAUAACGUCUUCGGACCGAAGUGGGGGACCUUCGGGCCUCACACCAUCGGAUGUGCCCAGAUGGGAUUAGCUAGUAGGUGGGGUAAUGGCUCACCUAGGCGACGAUCCCUAGCUGGUCUGAGAGGAUGACCAGCCACACUGGAACAGAGACACGGUCCAGACUCCUACGGGAGGCAGCAGUGGGGAAUAUUGCACAAUGGGCGCAAGCCUGAUGCAGCCAUGCCGCGUGUAUGAAGAAGGCCUUCGGGUUGUAAAGUACUUUCAGCGGGGAGGAAGGCGAUGUGGUUAAUAACCGCAUCGAUUGACGUUACCCGCAGAAGAAGCACCGGCUAACUCCGUGCCAGCCGCCGCCGUAACAC